CCUCCCCCCUCCUCCGCAGCCUUUCCUCUCGCGAUCCCCCUCUCUCCCACACGCGACUCCUCGCGCCGCCGCCCGAUUCCGUCGACUUCCCGCGAGUAUGGCUGGUGCGCAGCACACCCUCAUCUUCCUCUCGCUCCGCUCCUUCCUCCCCUCUAGCUAGAUUCACAGCUCCCGGCCACCAGCGCUCGCCAGCAGGCCCUCCCCAUGGCUAGGGUUUCGGCGCCGGGGCAGCUCCGAUGGAUCCUCUCCGUCGCCGGCUGCCGGUGCUGCUAGAACGGGGUGGUGCGGAUGCCCUCCUCCCGCAGGAUGUGCUAAGGCGACGCAACCUGCAGCGGCAUGGGAGUCGGGACGAGCGCGGGCGCCACGGCCUUGUCUCGCUCGACGAUGGUGGCCGCGAACGCCGGUGGUCCUUCUCCUCCUCUACCUCCAAGGACGUGCUUCGGUACAACUCAGGCACCCCUGCCCCUGAAGCCUGUCCUCUCAUCCGGUGAUGUACAGAUCGUCCUCGAGUGCGUCGAUUUGCCUCCUCCUCAACGCGGCACCUGCAACCUAGAUGUGGACGUGGUGAGCUCCCUCUCCCCCCCUUCCUGUACCCAAAAUCUGGAUGGCACUUGUAUCUGUAGUCACAUGCAUCUGUACAUACAUACGCAUGAAUAAGUUUCUCAUUAAUUUUUGAGUACAUUCUAUUGAACCUAAUUGUACUUGCUGCCCUGUAAGCUAUGAGAAGGAAUUGUUUCAUUGAAAGGGCCAAACACAAUGAUAACGACUCUUGCAUUAGUUGAAGGGAUCAAAGAAAUAGCAUCAAAAUAUAUUGAAUUGAAAUGUACUAAUAUAUUGAAGUGAAAGUUUCUAUGCACAUAAUUUGCAGAGCUAAAUAUAUUGUGGCUAUCCUACCCUGGUUGCAAUAUAUUGAAGUGCAAAAGGAUUUGGAUGUGAGAUGUAGGCACGUUUAUUCUGUUAACUGGUAGUUUUUACCGUGUGGCAAUAUAUUUUGGGUCUGUUUUGAUGGAUACCAACGCCGGCCUUACCAAUUUAUUGGUUGUGCCCGUGACUUUUGGAUACUGCUUGGAUUGAAGCCAUUUUUGGCUCGCCCAGCUCAAGUCGGCCGCGCCCCUACAGGAUUUUCGCCAAUUAGCGGGCGAAACGAAGGCGUGGAAAAUGUCCGCCAAUAAUUUGGCAGCCAAAUUGUGCGCACGUCUUAUUAUCUUGGCCGACCGCACGACGUCGUCGGCAGUGGCCGAAUCCGCCACCAUUCUUGACGCCUUGCACUGUCCGCCAGGCUAAUUAUGAUACAAAUUAAACCAUGACAUCGUGAAGCUCCAACUAAGCCUGAUUGUGAUUAUAUUCAAUUCAGUCUUGCUAAUAUGAUAGUAGUGUUUUAUCGGUUCAUUAUGCAUGCUGUAAAUUCUUGAAACCAAACUAUACACUACCUCGUACAAUCCAAACAAAUAUUGGCGAGUCUGUUGGCUUUAAACAUUUUGGAAGAAUUUAGUUAGUGAAGUAAGACAUUUUGGAAGGCAUAAUUCUUUUAAGAUUUUGGUUCAGUUUAGACAACAUUUACAUGUUAGUCUUAGUGAAAUGAAACUGCACUUCUGAUUUUCAACCAAUUUCUUUGCUCUGGACAAUAUAGUCGGUACACCUCUGCUUGGUCGACGCCGACAAUAUACCAGUACAGUUUAAGUUUUGGAUUUGUUAAGAUGUAGUCUUGGCCUUGCAUCUUCAGUUUAGGUUUGCAUUACAAAGAUUGCUCUGUACUUUGCUUGUUUUCAUAUUAGCUUUAUUGGUGGGAUUGCUGAAUGUAAGAUUGCUCUGUACUUAUUUCCUGUGCUUACAACCUACUAGCAGCAGUAUUUUAACUGCUUAAAGCCAUUUGCUCUUGUUAUUCAUGAUGUUGCAAAUUUCUGUAAGGUAUUCGAAAAUAGUUCAAGAGUAACUCAUUUGCAUUACAAUGAACCAAAAGAUGCUAGAGUAGUCUUCACACUUAUUUUGAUACGUACGAGCAUAUUUCAAGCAGCUAAAGCUGCAAGUUAUAGACAGAGUUUACGUAAUGUUGCUGCUUCUAUUCCGCACACUAAAAAGACAGCUUGUACUUAGAGCUGAAUGGAAAUAUUCUGUAAUUUUUGUUUGAUAAGUUUUUUCCAUUCCAUUGAUCCAGGUUUGGGUCUUCUCAUUAAGUACACGACAUGGCAGAGCUUGAGGCAUCAACCAAGGAGCUUGAGGCGUUGCAUGUUGAAAAAAAAAUCAAGAAACACAUGUAAGUACUAUGGUGCAGCAGUUCCAUUGUUUUCCAUUCCAUGGCAUAUGGGAUGAAUCACUAAUGCUCUUUCUAUGCAACAUGGGACAUGAUUUCUUACAUGGCAUUCUUCUCCUUGACCGAUGUGUAAUAUUGUGCUGUACUGUUGUAUUAUGCCCUAUGCUGUGCUCCUUGCUAGUAUAUUGUAACCAGUGAGUACUCAGCCAUAUCAGUAUCGCACACGUUGGGAAUUCGUCUUUGGGAGCUUGCAGAUUUUAUUAGUUGUCAGUUUAACUCGUCUAGAGAAGAAAUUCAGUUUAAAGACAUGUAUUAAAUGCAAGAAAAUAUCAUGUUAUUCCUACUUGGUGCAGCCUAUCACAUAUGCCAUGACAUGGUGUAGUUGCGAUCAAGAGGGGGCCAACGACAAGAAGUUGAAUAAGAAUCUUUUGUAUAUGUUUUUGAUGUAAACUGGAUUGUGUUGGUUCUAACCUUGCUAUGUGUUUGUAUUUCGUCAAUUGAUGUUGUAAAUUGUCUAUUCA